AAUUUCUUGGUUCAUCAGUAUAUCACAAGCAGCAGCAAUGCAAAUUUCCCCACAAUGCCCCAUCAACAUGCUUCAAUCCUGACCUAAAUAGGCCAUCUCUAGGAUUUACAGAGUGGUU
rnacentral:sRNA from 1 species